AAUCGAACGUGGAGAUAGCUGGUUCUCCCCGAAAUAGCUUUAGGGCUAGCCUCGAGGUAGAGAUUGCAGGCGGUAGAGCACUGAUCAGGAGAGGGGCCUACCCGGCUACCAAACCCAGUCAAACUACGAAUGGCUGCAAUUAUACUCGGGAGUCAGACUACGACUUAUAAGGGCCGUGGUCAAAAGGGAAACAGCCCAGAUCAUCAGCUAAGGUCCCAAAUGCCGUGCUAAGUGGCGAAGGAUGUGGCGUUUCAUAAACAACCAGGAUGUUGGCUCAGAAGCAGCCACCAUUUAAAGAGUGCGUAAUAGCUCACUGGUCGAGAGACGCUGCGCCGAAAAUGUCCGGGGCUCAAGCACGGAACCGAAGCUAUGGCAUGAUAGCAAUAUCAUGGGUAGGGGAGCGUUCUUAACAGGAAGAAGCAUGACCGGAAGGACAUGUGGACCGUUAAGAAGUGAGAAUGCCGGUAUGAGUAUCGAAAAGAAAGGUGAGAAUCCUUUCCACCGAAAGCCCGAGGGUUCCUGAGCAACGAUCGUCGUCUCAGGGUAAGUCGGGACCUAAGCCGAGGCGGAGACGCAUAGGCGAUGGACAACAGGUUGAAAUUCCUGUACCGGAUACAAUCGUUUGAGCGAUGGAGCGACGCAGAAAGGCAUAUGAUCGCGCGACUGGAAGAGCGCGUCCAAGUGCGUAUGUUGAAUCGGAGGCAAAUCCCUGAUUCUAAAAGCAGAGACACGAUGGGGAGUUAUACGAAAGUAUGACGAACUCAUAGAUCCUACACUGCCAAGAAAAACUUCUAGUGAGAAAGUAUCCGCCCGUACCGUAAACCGACACAGGUAGGCGGGGAGAGAAUCCUAAGGUGCGCGGGAAAACCCUCGUUAAGGAACUCGGCAAAUUGCAUCCGUAACUUAGGGAGAAGGAUGACCUUAAGUAAGCGAAAGGGAGAAACCCCUGGAACAGAACAAGGUGGCAGAAAAGAGGCCCAAGCAACUGUUUACCAAAAACACAGGUGCCUGCGAAAGCGAAAGCUGAAGUAUAGGUGCUGACGCCUGCCCGGUGCUGGAAGGUUAAGGAGAGAUGUCAGAGCAAUCGAAGCAUUGAACUGAAGCCCCAGUGAACGGCGGCCGUAACUAUAACGGUCCUAAGGUAGCGAAAUUCCUUGUCGGGUAAGUUCCGACCCGCAUGAAAGGCGUAAUGAUUUGGGCACUGUCUCAACGAGGGGCCCGGUGAAAUUGAAAUACCUGUGAAGAUGCAGGUUACCCGCGACUGGACAGAAAGACCCCAUGGAGCUUCACUGCAGCUUGAGAUUGAAUCUCGGUGAUGCAUGCACAGGAUAGGUGGGAGACUUUGAAGUAUGGGCUUUGGCUUAUACUGAGUCGAUGUUGGGAUACCACCCUUGUAUUGCUGAGAUUCUAACACGGAGGCUAACAACCUCGUGGACCAUCUCAGGUAGGCGGUUUGACUGGGGCGGUCGCCUCCGAAAGAGUAACGGAGGCGCCCAAAGGUUCCCUCAGGUCGGACAGAAACCGACCGAAGAGUGCAAAGGCAGAAGGGAGCUUGACUGCGAGACAGACAAGUCGAGCAGAGACGAAAGUCGGGCUUAGUGAUCCGGUGGUACUGUGUGGAAAGGCCAUCGCUCAACGGAUAAAAGCUACCCUGGGGAUAACAGGCUAAUCUCUCCCAAGAGUUCAUAUCGACGGGGAGGUUUGGCACCUCGAUGUCGGCUCAUCACAUCCUGGAGCUGGAGUAGGUUCCAAGGGUUGGGCUGUUCGCCCAUUAAAGUGGUACGCGAGCUGGGUUCAAAACGUCGUGAGACAGUUUGGUUCAUAUCCAUCGCGGGCGCAAGAAGUUUGAGGGAGGCUGCUCCUAGUACGAGAGGACCGGAGUGGACGGAUCAACGGUGUACCAGUUGUCACGCCAGUGGCACGGCUGGAAAGCCGCAUCCGGAAAGGAUAAACGCUGAAAGCAUCUAAGCGUGAAGCCCGUCCCGAGAUGAGACUUCU
rnacentral:rRNA from 1 species